CUACGUGCCAGCAGCCGCGGUAAUACGUAGGGCGCGAGCGUUGUCCGGAAUUAUUGGGCGUAAAGAGCUUGUAGGCGGUUGGUCGCGUCUGCUGUGAAAGGCCGGGGCUUAACUCCGGUUUUGCAGUGGGUACGGGCUAACUAGAGUGCAGUAGGGGAGACUGGAAUUCCUGGUGUAGCGGUGGAAUGCACAGAUAUCAGGAGGAACACCGAUGGCGAAGGCAGGUCUCUGGGCUGUAACUGACGCUGAGAAGCGAAAGCAUGGGGAGCGAACAGGAUUAGAUACCCUGGUAGUCCUAGCCGUAAACGAUGGACACUAGGUGUGGGGGAAUAUUUCUUCCGUGCCGCAGCUAACGCAUUAAGUGUCCCGCCUGGGGAGUACGGCCGCAAGGCUAAAACUCAAAGGAAUUGACGGGGGCCCGCACAAGCAGCGGAGCAUGUGGUUUAAUUCGAAGCAACGCGAAGAACCUUACCAGGGCU
rnacentral:rRNA from 1 species